rnacentral:misc_RNA from 1 species
UGUUUCAGUUUAAAUGUUUAUAAAUCAUCUCUAUUCUCCGGGUUUGCCUGCUCUCCUGGGUUCCAUCUUCAUCCUUAUCCUCAUCUCUAGUUCACACGCCAGUAAAGCUACAAGAAGACAAGGGAAAAGUCUAGAGAAUGUAUUUGAUUUUCUAACGAAGUUUCUCAGACCUUUAAAUGAAACUGCUGCUGCAACAUCAAAUCCAGAUGUUGUUCCAGAAAUAAUUGAGAAAGUGUUCCUAAACGAAGCAUGGAUUUUAGUUGAAAACAGGUUUAGAGAACUUAUUAUGGGAUUACCGAACGAUAUUGAUAAUGCGAACCAAAAAAUUACUGAGGACCUUGCUAAGAGUAACUUGAUGGACUACACCGUGGCUGCCUCCUUCUAUUUUGGUGCCGGCUUUGAUACUACUGCUGAUCUUAUACUUAACGAACGAACAUUGGAGGAAUCAUUGGGAGAUAAAGAGACUCUGUACCUUUGGAUGUAUCUUUGGGGAUAUGCAAUUGGGUUCGCCGGACCCUUUUUUAUUGGGCUAGAAUCUCCCUACCAGGAUUGUGGUAGUACAGAUCUAUUGCAUUCACUGGCAAACCAUAAUCUAACCCUGGAGCAUACAAUCACACUCUCACAGACACAGCUUUUCCUCCUUACUAGAUCCUUCAGGCUCGAAGCGGAUAAAAGAUUGUUUUGUAUUCUAUCUAAGACAGACAGGUUCCCUGAGGCAACACUUGUGAAUUCAAGAAUAGAGGAGAUAGUGGAUUUAGUUCUCCUCUACAAUACAAUUCAAUCUAAAAUUGAGUCAGAAGUGGAUUUUGAAGCUGAAGUAAGUAUUGAGGACGAACAGUUGACUGAAUUGUCAACUUCUAUCCAGGAAUGUGAUGACCGGAUGAUUGAACUUUGGGAUAGUCUAGAAAGCAAGGUAGUAGCUGCAUAUGAGUAUGCAUAUGCAUCUAGAGUGAACCAUAACCUUAUAAAGGUUGUGAUUGGUAUACCUAAUAUUAUUGGGAUGGUAGCUGGUGCUCUAGGUGUCAUUGAAAGCAAGGAUUAUUCAACACUACCUCUACUAGCAGAUAUACCAGCUGUACUUUGGGAAAAUAUCAGGCAGUUCAUUUUUCAGGGGAGACCAUCUAAUGAUUUCUUUGUGAGUGAAGCUUUGUCAAUAAAUGGGCAUUUUUCUUGGGGAUAUGGAUAUACUGCUCCGUACUUCCUUGCGCUGGUCAACCCAGAACCUGGCUGCGGGGUCAUUGAGUUCUUGGACAUUUCCAGUGAAUUUUCAGAAGUUACAGCGAGUUCAGGAACUUUACAAAAACCUUCGGAUCUGGCCGAGAUAUUGUUUCAGAUUGAAAAGAUUUGGUCGAGAGCUGAAAACUGCUCUGCAUUGUUUGUUGAGUAGGAAAGAAGAACCAGCAUAUGAGCUUCUCUUCAUUAUAGAAACCUGGUUAGAUAUUGCACUGUUUAGGAUGGAUCUCACAGCUUCCGUCUACUCCUUGCUGGGAAGAGAUGUAUAGUUAAAGCGGAUAAAAA